GGCUAAGUUUCUAGUAUCAGGCAUGAUUUCCCUCCUAUUGAGUGGGUCUGACUUCCAAUUAGAGAGCUGAGAAUCACAAAUGGUCACAAUGUAGAAAUCAAUGGAUGGUUGGGAGCACAGCCCCAAUGGAUAUGUACAUAUCAAAACCAUGACAUCUAUGGCUCAGGGAACAGAAGAGGGGACAGAAACAUCUAGGAGUCGGAACAAACACUGUGACACAGUUUCUCCAAGGAGUGGUUUCAUAAACAACACUGAAGCAAUGCCAAGAUCAAUGGACAUGCUAACAUGAUGGAGGGAAGUUUCUCAUGGUCCCACAAGAACUAUGAUUUCAGAAUCUAGAAGAGAAACUUUCCCAUCACUGCAUACUGCCAAUAUUGAAGGCAGAAGAGUUGCUAAGGCAUCUAAAAGAAGGACCAGAGGAUGCUUGAUGGCUGAAUGAAGGGCACUUAUACAAAGCUUGGAAGAGCAGACAGAUUUGGAAAGGUCACAGCCAAUAUCCACUACAGAGCAAUCUUGUUGGAAACAUCCCCUUAAAGAAUGUACUUCGUCUCCAUGAUAAAGAGAUACGCUUUCCCCUGACAAGAAAUAAAGGGAGGGAGAAAAGAGAGAAAGAUCCUACACCUAUUAAAUGUUUACACUGUAGGAGUUGGCCUGUGACAGCCUUCCCUUGUCAGUGAGAAGAGGGAGUCAGGGAUAAGAAAGCACAGGUCAUUACUAGGAAGCGCCGGCUGAAGGUGGCAGAAGCUAUUGAAACUGGGAUCCACCAGCAGCCACACACAUCCUGCCGUCCAGAAAGACAUCAAGUCAAAGCCUGGAAAACUGUCUGCUCUAGUUCUGUCACUGCCUCUGCAUUUGUGCACCUCACAGUCCUGUGCCUGAGACUGGCCAGACGAUGAGCAAAGUCAAAUAGAGAAGCAGAUCAUUUUGAACCUGCACAAGGGCAUCUUAAAUCGCUACACCAGACAGAGAAUCAGAGGAACUGAAACAUCUAGAGUCAUUAGAGCAUGGAAGCCACAAGGAGAUACCCUCCUAGGACUUGGAGGUAAGGUAUGUGACACUACCUGAUAAAGGGGUAAACUCUGUGCAUGGUUACAGCUGCUUAACAGGGGUACUUCACUGAGACACCGCAUGUGACUUUUUGACCAAAAGGCUUGGGAACACUUGGAAGUGUGGAAUAUAGAAAUGGUA